CAUUGGUGAGAAUCCAAUGCCCCGAAAACCUAAGGGUUCCUCCAUAAGGUUCGUCCACGAAGGGUGAGUCAGGACCUAAGAUUAGGCCGAAAGGCGUAGUCGAUGGACAACAGGUGAAUAUUCCUGUACUACCCUUUGUUGGUCCCGAGGGACAGAGGAGGCUAGUUUAGCCGAAAGAUGGUUAUCUGUUCAAUGAUGCAAGGUGUCCCUGCUUUUUCAGGGUAAGAAGAGGUAGAGAAAAUGCCUCAAGCCAAUGUUCGAGUAUCAUGCGCUACGGCGCUGAAGUACCCAUGCCAUACUCCCAAGCUCGAACGACCUUCAACAAAAGGGUACCUGUUCCCGAUACAUGUGGGUGUAAUCUUAUUUGGG
rnacentral:ncRNA from 1 species